GGAUUGUGGCUCAGUGGUAGAGAGCUUGCCUUGCAUGUGUGAAGCCCUGGGUUCCAUCCUCAGCACCA
rnacentral:tRNA from 1 species